rnacentral:SRP_RNA from 1 species
GCCAGGCAUAGUGGUGUAUGCCUGUACUCCCAGCUACUUGGGAGGCUGAGGUGGGAGGAUCGCUUGAGCCCAGAAAUUUGAAGCGGCAGUGAGCUAUGAUUGCACCGCUGCACUCCAGACUGGGCAACAGAGUGAGAUCCUGUCACUA